UACAGAGGGCAGCCAAGUCGUGAGGCGGGGCUAAUCCCUUAAAGCCAUUCUCAGUUCGGAUUGUAGGCUGAAACUCGCCUACAUGAAGCUGGAGUUACUAGUAAUCGCAGAUCAGAAUGCUGCGGUGAAUGCGUUCCCGGGUCUUGUACACACCGCCCGUCACACCACGGAAGUUGGGGGCGCCCGAAGCCACUUAGCUAACCCUUUUGGGAAGCGAGUGUCGAGGGUGAAAUCAAUAACUGGGGUGAAGUCGUAACAAGGUACC
rnacentral:rRNA from 1 species